rnacentral:misc_RNA from 1 species
GAUGAAGAACGCAGCGAAAUGCGAUAAGUAGUGUGAAUUGCAGAAUUCAGUGAAUCAUCGAAUCUUUGAACGCACAUUGCGCCCUUUGGUAUUCCUUAGGGCAUGCCUGUUCGAGCGUCAUCUAAACCUUCAAGCUCAGCUUGGUGAUGGGCGACUGUCCCCCCCCCUCGCGGGGGGGACUCGCCUCAAAAACAUUGGCGGCCGGUACAUUGGCUUCGAGCGCAGCAGAAACGCGGUCUCGAGCCCGGUGGAUCGGCUCCCAUAAGCCUAUUCUUUUAUUUUGACCUCGGAUCAGGUAGGGAUACCCGCUGAACUUAAGCAUAUCAAUAAGCGGAGGA